rnacentral:rRNA from 1 species
AGUGACCGCUGGCGGUAGGUCUAACACCUUCAAGUCGAACGGCAGCACAGUAAGAGCUUGCUCUAACGGGUGGCUAGUGGCGGACUGGUGAGGAAUACAUCGGAAUCUACUUUUUCUUGGGGGAUCACGUCGGGAAACUUACGCUAAUACCGUAUACGACCUACGGGUUAAAGCAGGCGAUCUUCGGACUUUUCGCGAUUGAAUGAUCCGAUGUCGGCUUAGCUAGUUGGCGGGGUACAGGCCCACCAAGGCGACGAUCCGUGACUGGUCUGAGAGGAUGAUGGGCCGUGCUGGAACAGAGACAGGGUCCAAGCUCAUACGGGAGGAAGCAGUGGGGAAAAUUGGACAAUGGGCGCAAGCCUGAUCCAGCCAUACCGCGUGGGUGAAGAAGGCCUUCGGGUUGUAAAGCCCUUUUGUUGGGAAAGAAAAGCAGCAGGUUAAUACCCCGCUGUUCUGACGGUACCCAAAGAAUAAGCACCGGCUAACUUCGUG